AUUGAACGCUGGCGGCAGGCCUAACACAUGCAAGUCGAGCGGAGGGGCGGUCGGGGGAGUAUUGCUUAGGAAUCUGCCUGGUAGUGGGGGAGAAGGCCCGGUAACGGGCGCUAAUACUGCAUACUAUCAGAUGAGCCUAGGUCGGAUUAGUUAGUUGGGGGGGUAAAGGCCUAGCAAGGCGACGAUCCGGAACUGGUACGAGAGGAUGAUCAGUCAAACUGGAACUGAGACACGGUCCAGACUCCUACGGGAGGCAGCAGUGGGGAAUAUUGGACAAUGGGCGAAAGCCUGAUCCAGCCAUGCCGCGUGUGUGAAGAAGGUCUUCGGAUUGUAAAGCACUUUAAGUUGGGAGGCGUUACCAACAGAAUAAGCACCGGCUAACUUCGUGCCAGCAGCCGCGGUAAUUC
rnacentral:rRNA from 1 species